GCUCACAGCAACUCCUGAGCUCAAGAUAUCUUCCUGCCUCAGCCUUCUGAGUAGCUGGGACUACAGGUCAGGGGUCCUCAAACUAUGGCCGGUAGGCCACAUGCGGCCCACCGAGGACAUUUAUCUGGCCUGCAGGGUGUUUUUGCCUCCGCUGCCUGUCCUGCUUAGCAGCCAACUUGUCCGGGGCCACAGUGCACAUGUGUGGAAUGUGCACAGCACUCUCCAACUCCCCUCCUUCUCUCUGUCUCUCGACUGCUCCUCUCAGUCUCGGGUGUGAUGGGACGAGUCACAAGCUUGCCUGUGCAGAGUCUGCUGUUGCCUGAGGACUAAGGACCUACAAUUACAUGAAGAAUUGAAGAAAUGGGAGACAAUUUGCAUCAGCAUUUGCAAAACUCCACAAAAACACUUUCCUAUUUUUCCUUGGCACUCGAUGACAGUAAUGAUGUUCGUGAUUCUGCACAACAUCUAAUUUUUAUUCGUGGUACGAAUGACUACUUUGAAGUCACAGAAGAGCUUGCUGCACUGCAAAGCAUCAAAGAAACAACUACGGGAGAGGAUAUCUAUGAAAAGGUUUGCCAAACUGUGAAUGGUUUGGAGCUGGACUGGGCUAAACUAGCCAAUGUGACAACUGAUGGUGCUCCCAACUGAUAGUGGAGUCUAAGAAAGGAGUAAUUGCUCCCAUUAACCCUGAGAUGGACAAACAUAACCAUUCUCAUCCAAUAGCCAUACACUGCCUCAUCCACCAACAAGCACUGUGUAAUAAAUCACUGAAGUGGGACUCUGUUAUGAAAAUUGUGGUAUCUUGUGUUAACUUCAUUAGAGCUAAUGCACUAAACCACAGACAAUUUCAGGAAUUUCUGUCUGAGCUAAAUGUUGCCUAUGAAGAUGUUCUGUACCACACACAAGUCCAUUGGCUGAGUUGAGCGACAUUUCUA